rnacentral:rRNA from 1 species
AGGAUUGAACGCUGGCGGCAGGCCUAACACAUGCAAGUCGAGCGGUAGAGAGGUGCUUGCAUCUCUUGAGAGCGGCGGACGGGUGAGUAAUGCCUAGGAAUCUGCCUAGUGGUGGGGGAUAACGUUCGGAAACGGACGCUAAUACCGCAUACGUCCUACGGGAGAAAGCGGGGGACCUUCGGGCCUCGCGCCAUUAGAUGAGCCUAGGUCGGAUUAGCUAGUGUGAGUAAUGGCUCACCAAGGCGACGAUCCGUAACUGGUCUGAGAGGAUGACCAGUCACACUGGAACUGAGACACGGUCCAGACUCCUACGGAGGCAGCAGUGGGAAUAUUGGACAAUGGGCGAAAGCCUGAUCCAGCCAUGCCGCGUGUGUGAAGAAGGUCUUCGGAUUGUAAAGCACUUUAAGUUGGAGAAGGGCAGUUACCUAAUACGUAUCUGUUUGACGUUACGACAGAAUAAGCACCGGCUAACUCUGUGCCAGCACG